UACCCGUUUACCCAUAUACGAAGUAGUAACAUGUGAGUGCGAUCUUCACACAGAAGAUAGGCUCACAAUGCUACCGUUUUUGUCAUUAUGUGUUGACAUUGUCUUUUAUGUGUCGUUGUUGUUUACAUUGUGCUAAUAUAGUUUUGUUGAUGACUAGAUUUUUGCGGGUUUUUGAAAAAUAUAUUAUUGAUUCCAAAGAAUAUAUUAUUAUUUACGACUAUGUGAUCAAAUUUUAACAUGAGUAUUUUUGCCCGCGGGUGCCCGUCUACCCUGACGGAUAACGGGUAUGGAAAAAAGUUGUACCCGUUAGCGGUAUGGGUACAGGUAACGGAUGAAAUAAAAAAAGCGGAUAUGAAAAGUCACCACCUGCCAUCCCUGUUCCCUGAUUAGGAUACCGUGUUAGCUGCGCCUCCCAGUCAGUCUCGUUUUUUUUAGCGGAAAGUCAGUCUCUUUUUUUUUUUUGAGAGAGAGCAACGGAAAGUCAGUCUCGUUCAGACGAUUCCUGCGUACGUAUCAUACAGCUAGCCCAGGAUGUCGCCACAGAACAGGGCCACAGGAAUCGAGCCCGGUUAGGAUGGGCCGCUAUCGAGGAGUCCAUCAAGCCCGAAAGGCCGAAAUUAUAGCUCUUGUCUCCAUCUUUUUGCAAUAGAUAGUGCCGGGGCGCAUGAAGUUUCACAUGGGCCACUAGUGGCCUGCCUUAACCUAGUUUGUUUUCCCUUUAUGAAUCCCGAAAAAAGGUGUUAAUUUUAUACAUUUUAAGGAUCAUUUAACAAAAUUUAUAUUCCUUCAUCCAACAAA
rnacentral:lncRNA from 1 species